rnacentral:tRNA from 1 species
GGCGAGAUGACAGAGUUGGUCGAUUGUGUCUGAUUUGAAAUCAGAUGAACUUUUGCAGGUUCCGUGGGUUCGAAUCCCACUCUCGCCU